rnacentral:rRNA from 1 species
CGUGUGGUCCUAUUUUGUUGGUUUCUAGGACCGCCGUAAUGAUUAAUAGGGACAGUCGGGGGCAUCAGUAUUCAAUUGUCAGAGGUGAAAUUCUUGGAUCUAUUGAAGACUAACUACUGCGAAAGCAUUUGCCAAGGAUGUUUUCAUUUAUCAGGAACGAAAGUUAGGGGAUCGAAGACGAUCAGAUACCGUCGUAGUCUUAACCAUAAACUAUGCCGACUAGGGAUCGGACGGUGUUAUUUCUUGACCCGUUCGGCACCUUACGAGAAAUCAAAGUGCUUGGGCUCCAGGGGGAGUAUGGUCGCAAGGCUGAAACUUAAAGAAAUUGACGGAAGGGCACCACCAGGGGUGGAGCCUGCGGCUUAAUUUGACUCAACACGG